UCUCCGUUGGUGAACCAGCGGAGGGACCAUUACUGAGUUACCGCUCUACAACCCUUUGUGAACAUACCUAACUGUUGCUUCGGCGGGCAGAGGUCCCUCGCGGAUCUCUCCCGGCAACGCCCUCACGGGCGGAGCGCCCGCCGGAGGAUACCAAACUCUAUUUUAACGACGUUUCUUCUGAGUGGCACAAGCAAAUAAUUAAAACUUUUAACAACGGAUCUCUUGGUUCUG
rnacentral:misc_RNA from 1 species